rnacentral:rRNA from 1 species
ACUCCUACGGGAGGCAGCAGUGGGGAAUAUUGCACAAUGGGCGCAAGCCUGAUGCAGCCAUGCCGCGUGUAUGAAGAAGGGCCUUCGGGUUGAUAAAGCACUUUCAGUCGUGAGGAAGGUAGUGUAGUUAUAGCUGCUAUUAUUUGACGUUAGCGAACAGAAGAAGCACCGGCUAACUCCGUGCCAGCAGCCGCGGUAAUACGGAGGGUGCGAGCGUUAAUCGGAAUUACUGGGCGUAAAGCGCAUGCAGGUGGUUUGUUAAGUCAGAUGUGAAAGCCCGGGGCUCAACCUCGGAAUUGCAUUUGAAACUGGCAGGCUAGAGUACUGUAGAGGGGGGUAGAAUUUCAGGUGUAGCGGUGAAAUGCGUAGAGAUCUGAAGGAAUACCGGUGGCGAAGGCGGCCCCCUGGACAGAUACUGACACUCAGAU